rnacentral:rRNA from 1 species
AUUGAACGCUGGCGGCAGGCCUAACACAUGCAAGUCGAACGGUAACAGGAAGCAGCUUGCUGCUUCGCUGACGAGUGGCGGACGGGUGAGUAAUGUCUGGGAAGCUGCCUGAUGGAGGGGGAUAACUACUGGAAACGGUAGCUAGUACCGCAUAAUGUCGCAAGACCAAAGAGGGGGACCUUCGGGCCUCUUGCCAUCGGAUGUGCCCAGAUGGGAUUAGCUUGUUGGUGGGGUAACGGCUCACCAAGGCGACGAUCCCUAGCUGGUCUGAGAGGAUGACCAGCCACACUGGAACUGAGAAACGGUCCAGACUCCUAAGGGAGGCAGCAGUGGGGAAUAUUGGACAAUGGGCGGAAGCCUGAUGCAGCCAAGCCGCGUGUAUGAAGAAGGCCUUCGGGUUGUAAAGUACUUUCAGCGGGGAGGAAGGGAGUAAAGUUAAUACCUUUGCUCAUUGACGUUACCCGCAGAAGAAGCACCGGCUAACUCCGUG